rnacentral:lncRNA from 1 species
AGGCUACAAUUCCAAUCACCUAAACAACCGAGCAAGACAGCCACUUCGACAAGGUUUACGGCCAGAGACCCGGGCUCUUCUCUCUCAUGUGUCUGAAUUACCUGGUUAUCUGCCCCAGGAGCUGAGUGCAGAGGCCCUGGGCCCACGAACCUAUCAGAGCCUCUCCUGACAUUUGGGACUUCGCUGUGAGAUUCUCCAGCCGGUGACUGGCCCCCUCUGGAUCCUUCGGGGC